AGAGUUUGAUCCUGGCUCAGAACGAACGCUGGCGGCAGGCUUAGCACAUGCAAGUCGAACGCCCCGCAAGGGGAGUGGCAGACGGGUGAGUAACGCGUGGGAAUCUACCUAGUUCUACGGAACAACACAGGGAAACUUGUGCUAAUACCGUAUACGCCCUACGGGGGAAAGAUUUAUCGGAAUUAGAUGAGCCCGCGUAAGAUUAGCUAGUUGGUGGGGUAAUGGCCUACCAAGGCGACGAUCUUUAGCUGGUCUGAGAGGAUGAUCAGCCACACUGGGACUGAGACACGGCCCAGACUCCUACGGGAGGCAGCAGUGGGGAAUAUUGGACAAUGGGCGAAAGCCUGAUCCAGCCAUGCCGCGUGAGUGAUGAAGGCCUUAGGGUUGUAAAGCUCUUUCAGUAGGGAAGAUAAUGACGGUACCUACAGAAGAAGCCCCGGCUAACUUCGUGCCAGCAGCCGCGGUAAUACGAAGGGGGCUAGCGUUGUUCGGAUUUACUGGGCGUAAAGCGCACGUAGGCGGAUUGUUAAGUCAGGGGUGAAAUCCUGGAGCUCAACUCCAGAACUGCCUUUGAUACUGGCAAUCUAGAGUCCGGAAGAGGUGAGUGGAACUCCUAGUGUAGAGGUGGAAUUCGUAGAUAUUAGGAAGAACACCAGUGGCGAAGGCGGCUCACUGGUCCGGUACUGACGCUGAGGUGCGAAAGCGUGGGGAGCAAACAGGAUUAGAUACCCUAGUAGUCC
rnacentral:rRNA from 1 species